UACGAAGGGGGCGAGCGUUGCUCGGAAUCACUGGGCGUAAAGGGUGCGUAGGCGGGUCUUUUAAGUCAGGGGUGAAAUCCUGGAGCUCAACUCCAGAACUGCCUUUGAUACUGAGGAUCUUGAGUUCGGGAGAGGUGAGUGGAACUGCGAGUGUAGAGGUGAAAUUCGUAGAUAUUCGCAAGAACACCAGUGGCGAAGGCGGCUCACUGGCCCGAUACUGACGCUGAGGCACGAAAGCGUGGGGAGCAAACAGG
rnacentral:rRNA from 1 species